rnacentral:rRNA from 1 species
UACGUAGGUGGCAAGCGUUGUCCGGAUUUACUGGGCGUAAAGAGCGCGCAGGCGGCUGGGCAAGUCCGAUGUGAAAGCUCCCGGCUUAACUGGGAAAUUGCAUCGGAAACUGCUCGGCUUGAAGGUGGGAGAGGGUAGCGGAAUUCCCGGUGUAGUGGUGAAAUGCGUAGAUAUCGGGAGGAACACCAGUGGCGAAGGCGGCGACCUGGGUAGAUACUGACGCUGAGGUGCGAAAGCGUGGGGAGCAAACAGG